ACACGACGACAGAGAUUGUCCCGUGCCGUCGGCCCGAGGCGGUGCCGUACUCCUCGCGGGCACGGACCAGCGGCGGUCGAGCCGGAGCCAGAAGGAGGCAGCGGAAGGUGAGUCGACGUGGGCCUGUCCCGCAUCGACAGCUUACAGCCCUGUCGUUCGGUGCUCCGGUUCGACCGAGGAAACAGGGCAGCCCUUGCUCGUCGUGGUACACGCCGUACGGCGGGGCCUCCCGACACGAGUAAACCGUGCGGUGCGGACUGCAUGCAGUGCGGAUCGUGGCGGCGAUCUAGUGCCGGAGAGUGCCACCCGUGUGCCAGUGCCGCUGGUAUUCAGAC
rnacentral:misc_RNA from 2 species